UGUGGUCUAAAUGGGCGACAGUUAUUUUUUGGAUAACUGUGGUAAUUCCAGAGCUAAUACAUGCGACUAAAGUCCCUAGCCUUUAUGGCGACGGAUGCUUUUAUUAUGACCGAGGUGAACGGCUGCUUCCUCUUCGGAGGUUUCAGUACGCGAUGCUAAAGGUGACUCUGGAUAACACUUGAUAAGCGCACGCAACACUUUAGUGAGCGGCGCUGCCACUUU
rnacentral:rRNA from 1 species